GUGCCAGCAGCCGCGGUAAUACGUAGGGGUCAAGCGUUGUCCGGAUUUAUUGGGCGUAAAGAGCUCGUAGGCGGUUCAACAAGUCGGUCGUAAAAGUUUAGGGCUCAACCCUAAAAUGUCGAUCGAUACUGUUGUGACUAGGAUACGGUAGAGGUGAGGGGAAUUCCGAGUGUAGCUGUGAAAUGCGUAGAUAUUCGGAGGAACACCAAUUGCGAAGGCAGCUCACUGGGCCGCUAUCGACGCUGAGGAGCGAAAGCUAGGGGAGCAAACAGGAUUAGAUA
rnacentral:rRNA from 1 species